GGUGGUUCUCGGGUGAUGCACCCUGGAAUCAAGCUCCCUCCUCUCUGGUUCCGGGUGAGUCACCAGAGAACCGCA
rfam:Myotis lucifugus cont2.31491, whole genome shotgun sequence.